GACAGAGGGUGCAAACGUUGUUCGGAAUUACUGGGCGUAAAGGGCGCGUAGGCGGUUGGAUAAGUCAGCUGUGAAAACCACGGGCUUAACUCGUGGCCUGCAGUUGAGACUGUCUGGCUUGAGUGUGGGAGAGGAGAGUGGAAUUCCUGGUGUAGCGGUGAAAUGCGUAGAUAUCAGGAGGAACACCGGUGGCGAAGGCGGCUCUCUGGACCACAACUGACGCUGAGGCGCGAAAGCUAGGGGAGCAAACAGG
rnacentral:rRNA from 1 species